rnacentral:rRNA from 1 species
AUUGAACGCUGGCGGCAGGCUUAACACAUGCAAGUCGAGCGGAGAUGAGGUGCUUGCACCUUAUCUUAGCGGCGGACGGGUGAGUAAUGCUUAGGAAUCUGCCUAUUAGUGGGGGACAACAUUCCGAAAGGAAUGCUAAUACCGCAUACGUCCUACGGGAGAAAGCAGGGGAUCUUCGGACCUUGCGCUAAUAGAUGAGCCUAAGUCGGAUUAGCUAGUUGGUGGGGUAAAGGCCUACCAAGGCGACGAUCUGUAGCGGGUCUGAGAGGAUGAUCCGCCACACUGGGACCGAGACACGGCCCAGACUCCUACGGGAGGCAGCAGUGGGGAAUAUUGGACAAUGGGGGGAACCCUGAUCUAGCCAUGCCGCGUGUGUGAAGAAGGCCUUAUGGUUGUAAAGCACUUUAAGCGAGGAGGAGGCUACUGAGACUAAUACUCUUGGAUAGUGGACGUUACUCGCAGAAUAAGCACCGGCUAACUCUGUGCCAGCAGCCGCGGUAAAAC